rnacentral:sRNA from 1 species
GUCAGUAACCCAGCCCUAAAGGGACUGGGCUUGUAAGAGAAAUCAAGCCGUACUGACCAGACCACCCUGAGCCUGAGAAAAACCGAAAUGUGUAAGAGGAUGUUUGAAAAGUGGUAUUCCGUAAUUUUCAUCACAUUGCUACCCCCCUUUCCCCUAUGCUUUGGGGGGAAACAAUAAAAAUCCAGUUCCCUCCCCUUGACAAGGGGAGGGUUAGGGUGGGGUAAAAAAUAUUUGAUACAUCAACCAUAACUUUUCAAACACCCUCUAGGGGACUUCCAAGAAAUAAAAUCCCCAAAAAUUUC